rnacentral:rRNA from 1 species
CAGUAACGGCGAGUGAAGCGGCAACAGCUCAAAUUUGAAAUCUGGCUCCUUCGGGGCCCGAAUUGUAAUUUGUAGAGAGUGCUUCGGGCGAGACCUCGGUCUAAGUCCAUUGGAACAUGGUGUCAUAGAGGGUGAGAAUCCCGUAUGCGACCGUGGCUCGAGCCCAUGUGAAGCCUCUUCGACGAGUCGAGUUGUUUGGGAAUGCAGCUCAAAAUGGGUGGUAAAUUUCAUCUAAAGCUAAAUACUGGCUGGAGACCGAUAGCGCACAAGUAGAGUGAUCGAAAGAUGAAAAGCACUUUGGAAAGAGAGUCAAACAGUACGUGAAAUUGUUGAAAGGGAAGCGCUUGCAACCAGACCUGCCCGUAGGCGAUCAGCCGCUGUUCUCAGCGGUGUACUCGCUCUGCGAUCAGGCCAGCAUCGGUUUCGGCGGUCGGAUAAAGGCCUUGGGAAUGUAGCUUCCCUUCGGGGGAGUCUUAUAGCCCUCGGUGCAAUGCGGCCAGCCGGGACCGAGGACCGCGCUCCGGCUAGGAUGCUGGCGUAAUGGUUGUAAGCGACCCGUCUUGAAACACGGACCAAGGAGUCUAACAUCUAUGCGAGUGUUUGGGUGUCAAACCCAUACGCGGAAUGAAAGUGAACGGAGGUGAGAACCCUCAAGGGCGCAUCAUCGACCGAUCCAGAUGUCUUCGGAUGGAUUUGAGUAUGAGCAUAGCUGUUGGGACCCGAAAGAUGGUGAACUAUGCCUGAAUAGGGUGAAGCCAGAGGAAACUCUGGUGGAGGCUCGCAGCGGUUUCUGACGUGCAAAUCGAUCGUCAAAUUUGGGUAUAGGGGCGAAAGACUAAUC